rnacentral:misc_RNA from 1 species
AACCAAACCGAAUUACCGAAUUUAGUCGGUUCAGUUGAUUUAUUCGGUUCAUACCAAAUAGAGCACAGCUUUACUCUUGACAUAAGGUGGAUUAAAAAUGUUAUUUCAAGUUAUUAAGAGUUUACAGGCGACCUGAAUGGAGCCUGCUGUUCCUUCUUGGUUUAACUGUUUUGUAUUGAUUAAAUUCAAUGAUUUGUUCAGAAGAUUGUUGUAAAAAUCACUAGUUGACUCAUACAUUUUACGAGUUAUAAUAAUCUAAACUGAUCAAAAUGUAUAGAAAACCG